AACAGCUCUUUCUUUCAAAACAUAGUGGAACUGGGGAAAGGACACUAGAGUGCAUCCUUUAUUUCUAGACACCUACUCAAGGCUAUGUUAUGAUGUUAUCA